rnacentral:rRNA from 1 species
AACGUACGCUGGCGGCACGCCUAACACAUGCAAGUCGAACGAAGUAGCAAUACUUAGUGGCAGACGGGUGAGUAACAUGUGGGUAUCUGCCCUUUGGCCUGGAAUAACACGAGGAAACUUGUGCUAAUACCGGAUAAGUCUUUACGGAGAAAGCUUUAUGCACCAUUGGAUGAGCCCGCACUUGAUUAGUUUGUUGGUGGGGUAAUGGCCUACCAAGACUGUGAUCAAUAGCUGAUUUGAGAGGAUGAUCAGCCACAUUGGGACUGAGACACGGCCCAAACUCCUACGGGAGGCAGCAGUGGGGAAUCUUGCACAAUGGAGGAAACUCUGAUGCAGCGAUGCCGCGUGAGUGAAGAAGGCCCUUGGGUUGUAAAGCUCUUUCGUCGGGGAAGAAAAUGACUGUACCCGAAUAAGAAGGUCCGGCUAACUUCGUGCCAGCAGCCGCGGUAAUACGAAGGGACCUAGCGUAGUUCGGAAUUACUGGGCUUAAAGAGUUCGUAGGUGGUUGAAAAAGUUAGUGGUGAAAUCCCAGAGCUUAACUCUGGAACUGCCAUUAAAACUUUUCAGCUAGAGUAUGAUAGGGGAAAGCAGAAUUUCUAGUGUAGAGGUGAAAUUCGUAGAUAUUAGAAAGAAUACCAAUUGCGAAGGCAGCUUUCUGGAUCAUUACUGACACUGAGGAACGAAAGCAUGGGUAGCGAAGAGGAUUAGAUACCCUCGUAGUCCAUGCCGUAAACGAUGUGUGUUAGACGUUGGAAAUUUAUUUUCAGUGUCGCAGCGAAAGCGAUAAACACACCGCCUGGGGAGUACGACCGCAAGGUUAAAACUCAAAUGAAUUGACGGGGACCCGCACAAGUAGUGGAGCAUGUGGUUUAAUUCGAAGAUACGCGCAGAACCUUACCAACACUUGACAUGUUCGUCGCGACUCUAAGAGAUUAGAGUUUUCGGUUCGGCCGGACGAAACACAGGUGCUGCAUGGCUGUCGUCAGCUCGUGUCGUGAGAUGUUGGGUUAAGUCCCGCAACGAGCGCAACCCUCACUUUUAGUUGCCAUCAUUAAGUUGGGCACUCUGAAAGAACUGCCAGUGAUAAGCUGGAGGAAGGUGGGGAUGACGUCAAGUCCUCAUGGCCCUUACGUGUUGGGCUACACACGUGCUACAAUGGUAUCUACAACAGGAAGCAAGACUGCGAGGUCAAGCAAAUCCUUAAAAGAUACCUCAGUUCGGAUUGCACUCUGCAACUCGAGUGCAUGAAGCUGGAAUUACUAGUAAUCGUGGAUCAGCGUGCCACGGUGAAUGCGUUCCCGGGUCU